rnacentral:rRNA from 1 species
AGAUUGAACGCUGGCGGCAUGCCUUACACAUGCAAGUCGAACGGCAGCACGGGGGCAACCCUGGUGGCGAGUGGCGAACGGGUGAGUAAUGCAUCGGAACGUGCCCAGUAGUGGGGGAUAACUAGUCGAAAGAUUAGCUAAUACCGCAUACGACCUAUGGGUGAAAGCGGGGGAUUCGCAAGAACCUCGCGCUAUCGGAGCGGCCGAUGUCUGAUUAGCUAGUUGCGGGUAAAGCCACCAAGGCUUCGAUCAGUAGCUGGUCUGAGAGGACGACCAGCCACACUGGGACUGAGACACGGCCCAGACUCCUACGGGAGGCAGCAGUGGGAAUUUUGGACAAUGGGCGCAAGCCUGAUCCAGCCAUGCCGCGUGCGGAAGAAGCCUGGUGUAACGCUUUGCUAGACGAAACGGCGCGAGCGAAUAUCGUCGCGUUAAUGACGGUACUGCAGAAUAAGCACCGGCUAACUACGUGCCAGCACG